rnacentral:tRNA from 1 species
GCCACUGUAGAUCAGCAGUUAGAUCGUCCGACUCAUAAUCGGAAGCUCGGCGGUGCGAUUCCGCCCAGUGGCAC